CUUUGGUUUUGUAAUUGAAUUGAGAACAAUGUACAAUCGUUAUCGAUAAACAAUUGGAGGGCAAGUCUGGUGCCAGCAGCCGCGGUAAUUCCAGCUCCAAUAGCGUAUAUUAACGUUGUUGCAGUUAAAAAGCUCGUAGUUGAAGUUUAGAUAAUUUAUUGAAAGUGUUUGUAUUCGUACAUUCUACUUUUAUGUAAGUUAUCGACAUCCAGGUGGGUGCUCUGAUUCCUUCGGGGGUUAGGGUACUAGACUGGUCAUUUACUGUGAGAAAAUUAGAGUGUUUAAAGCAGACUUUCUAAAUAGUUUGAAUAGAUUAGCAUGGAAUAAUAAGAUUGGCUUUCAUAGUCGAUUUUUUGGUUUGUUUAUGAAAGCAAGAUUAAUAGGGACAGUUGGGGGUAUUCAUAUUCAAUAGCUAGAGGUGAAAUUCUAUGAUUUAUGGAAGAUGAACAAGUGCGAAAGCA
rnacentral:rRNA from 1 species